rnacentral:rRNA from 1 species
GUGAGGAAUAUUGGUCAAUGGGCGGGAGCCUGAACCAGCCAAGUCGCGUGAAGGAAGAAGGAUCUAUGGUUCGUAAACUUCUUUUGCAGGGGAAUAAAGUGCAGGACGUGUCCUGUUUUGUAUGUACCCUGAGAAUAAGGAUCGGCUAACUCCGUGCCAGCAGCCGCGGUAAUACGGAGGAUCCGAGCGUUAUCCGGAUUUAUUGGGUUUAAAGGGUGCGUAGGUGGUUUGAUAAGUCAGCGGUGAAAGUUUGCAGCUUAACUGUAAAAUUGCCGUUGAAACUGUCGGUCUUGAGUGCAAAUGAGGUAGGCGGAAUGUGUUGUGUAGCGGUGAAAUGCUUAGAUAUCACGCAGAACUCCGAUUGCGAAGGCAGCUUACUAAGCUACAACUGACACUGAAGCACGAAAGCGUGGGGAUCAAACAGGAUUAGAAACCCGUGUAGUCC